UUUAGGUUGUCAAUAUUUUUAAUCUUUUUAUUACCUACGGAGACACUUUCCUAGCAACUACUAGCAGCUACGAUGAACUGUAUUAUGAACUGAACCGCGAGGAAAAGGUAUUCAGUGAGAUCCAUGCCAUGGUUCUGCGCUACACAACGAUUGAAGAAUGCGAAUACAAAGAAGAUGUAUUCAAGCUAUUGAACUCAAUGGUGAACAUAUUGGCGAUUAUAAAGCAUUUUCAGGUACGUUUUUUUUAUUUAGUAUCUUCCAGGCCUAAUUUUAACCAUUGAGACAUAGGCCGGUGUGGCCUUUGCAGUACAUUAAAGUUGUCUCCAUUCA